AUUGAACGCUGGCGGCAGGCCUAACACAUGCAAGUCGAGCGAGCGGCGGACGGGUGAGUAAUGUAUGGGGACUGCCCGAUAGAGUGGGAUAACUACUGGAAACGGUAGCUAAUACCGCAUACUAUCGGAUAACCCAUAUGGGAUUAGCUAGUAGGUGAGGUAAUGGCUCACCUAGGCGACGAUCCCUCGCUGGUCGGAGAGGAUGAUCAGCCACACGGGGACUGAGAAACGGACAAGAAUCCUACGGAGGCAGCAGUGGGGAAUAUUGCACAAUGGGCGCAAGCCUGAUGCAGCCAUGCCGCGUGUAUGAAGAAGGCCCUAGGGUUGUAAAGUACUUUCAGUAGGGAGGCGUUACAGACAGAAGAAGCACCGGCUAACUCCGGGCCAGCAGCCGCGGUAAUAC
rnacentral:rRNA from 1 species